CAGUAGCCGCGGUAAUACAGAGGGUGCGAGCGUUAAUCGGAUUUACUGGGCGUAAAGCGUGCGUAGGCGGCUUUUUAAGUCGGAUGUGAAAUCCCUGAGCUUAACUUAGGAAUUGCAUUCGAUACUGGGAAGCUAGAGUAUGGGAGAGGAUGGUAGAAUUCCAGGUGUAGCGGUGAAAUGCGUAGAGAUCUGGAGGAAUACCGAUGGCGAAGGCAGCCAUCUGGCCUAAUACUGACGUUGAGGUACGAAAGCAUGGGGAGCAAACAGGAUUAGAUACCCCUGUAGUCCCUGUCUCUUAUAC
rnacentral:rRNA from 1 species